AUUGAACGCUGGCGGCAGGCCUAACACAUGCAAGUCGAACGAGUGGCGGACGGGUGAGUAAUGUCUGGGAAACUGCCCGAUGGAGGGGGCUAACUACUGGAAAAGGUAGCUAAUACCGCAUACCAUCGGAUGUGCCCAGAUGGGAUUAGCUAGUAGGUGGGGUAACGGCUCACCAAGGCGACGAGCCAUAGCUGGUCUGAGAGGAUGACCAGCCACACUGGAACUGAGACACGGUCCAGACUCCUACGGGAGGCAGCAGUGGGGAAUAUUGCACAAUGGGCGCAAGCCUGAUGCAGCCAUGCCGCGUGUAUGAAGAAGGCCUUCGGGUUGUAAAGUACUUUCAGCGAGGAGGCGUUACUCGCAGAAGAAGCACCGGCUAACUCCGUGCCAACAGCCGCGGUAAUUC
rnacentral:rRNA from 1 species